rnacentral:rRNA from 1 species
GACGUAGGUGGCGAACGUUAUCCGGAAUUAUUGGGCGUAAAGGGUGCGUAGAUGGCCUGCUAAGUUAGCAGUGGGAAAUCGAGGCUCAACCUCGUGGAAGCUGGUAAUACUGUCAGGCUCGAGUGCAGGAGAGGUUAACGGAACUCCAUGUGGAGCGGUAAAAUGUGUAGAUAUAUGGAAGAACACCAAUAACGGCGAAGGCAGUUAACUAUUCUGUUACUGACAUUGAGGCACGAAAGCGUGGGGAGCAAAACGG